AAUUAUUGUAAAUGACCCGGUAACUAUGAUAACUCUGUAGGCAUUACUUCGAACAAGUGAAAAAAAGACAACGUAUGAAAGCCCUUCUAUCCGUGAUUAGCCUAGUCGUGAUUAGCGUGGUGGUGAUUAUUAACCCACCGUGCGGGGCUGCGUCUGGAGAAAGAAAGGCUUAAAAAUCAAGUCUGAAAUCCCAAAAACCCCCGCACCGAAAGGUCCGGGGGUUUUUUUUUGACCAGACAAACUAUCAGCUGAUUAGCGAGGAGCAGAUUAUGAGCAGUAGCAUAAAAUUCUGUUGUUCUCACAGGAU
rfam:Pantoea sp. PSNIH1, complete genome.